GGAUAUGAGGUCUAUCUGGCUGGGAUAUCUGUCACUCCUUUGAUCACUAGGGUUGAUUCUGCUGAUCUGGCUGGCUAGGCAGUGUCAUUUUCCUCCCUAAACACUCCAUAUGAGUCUCAAAAUUGCACACUCAGUUGAAAUGGACAACCUUCCCAACAAUGGAAGACUGGUCUUUGGUCAAAGGUAUGUGAAUAGCUAUGCUCCCCUGCUCAAACUUCCAAACAAGUUCUCAAGAAUGCUACUUAUUAAUUCAAGCUAAUUUAUAUCUCAUUUACUAUAGUAGGGUUACUUAUUUGAGU
rnacentral:snRNA from 1 species